UACGUAGGCAGCGAGCGUUGUUCGGAAUUACUGGGCGUAAAGCGCACGUAGGCGGCUUCUUAAGUCAGGGGUGAAAUCCUGGAGCUCAACUCCAGAACUGCCUUUGAUACUGAGAAGCUUGAGUCCGGGAGAGGUGAGUGGAACUGCGAGUGUAGAGGUGAAAUUCGUAGAUAUUCGCAAGAACACCAGUGGCGAAGGCGGCUCACUGGCCCGGUACUGACGCUGAGGUGCGAAAGCGUGGGGAGCAAACAGG
rnacentral:rRNA from 1 species